CGUCUCCAGCAUGCGUCUCCAGUGCGAGCAGCCGCCAUUUUCUCAGCGUGAAAGAAGCGAGAAGCGAGUGAAAGACUAUGACUUGUCGAGCUCGUGUCUUCAUUGUCCUCUCGCCGAGAGUUAAAGACACAGAAGCUGUUUGUGUGAGAGUCUCAGACUGUGAGGAGGAGGAUGUGUUCUUCUGAAGAGAGGGACAGGCGGGUUUAAGGAGAGUAAACUUCAGAAUAACAACGUUAUCUUUAUUUUUACUAAGACUAAAAUAAUGUUUGUUUUUGUAGAUGUUGAAAUCCAGAGACAAGAUAACUUCAUUCUUUUGAGACUGAUAACUCAAACUAACUGGAGUUAAGGACACAGAAGUCUGCUUGUGUGAGGAGGUGGUUUUCUCAGCUUCUUCAGAAGACAGGGAAAGAUAGUUUAAGGCAAGUAAACUUCAUAAUUUCAUGUUAUCAGUUGUUGUUGUUGUUUUUUACUAAGAGUAAAAUAAUGUUUGUUUUUUGUUUUUGUAGAUGUUAAAAGCCAGAGACAUGGGAGAGCAUCAUUCUUUUGAGAGUUUAUAACUCAAACCAACUUUGGAGUUGUCUUGUCUGAUUUGGAGAGUCAUCAUUCCUGGUAUUCCCUCUUAAAGGCCACUGAUGAAGAUCA